rnacentral:misc_RNA from 1 species
UUCCAAGUCUUCCAAUUCCUAACCCAAUUUUUUUGUUCUCUGUCUCUCUCUCUUGGCGAUGGCGGCCGGAGGAAGAUUCGCCACCGUUGGCCUCGCCGUGGCGGUUGUAAUGGUGGUCUUAGGGAUUCAGAUUUGUUCGGCGCAGAUUACCAGAAGCAGUUUUCCGAGCGGAUUUGUUUUCGGAACUGCUUCCUCUGCUUUACAGUAUGAAGGCGCCGUAAAGGAGGACGGAAGGGGACCCACAAUUUG